AUUGAACGCUGGCGGCAUGCCUUACACAUGCAAGUCGAACGGCAUCGCGGGAAUGUUUUCUUUCCUGGCGGCGAGUGGCGCACGGGUGACUAACACAUCGCCACGCCCCGGCUUGUGGGGGAUAACCCGUCGAAAGACCGACUAAUACCGCAUACCUUCUUCGGCGGAAAGCGGGGGGCCUUUUGGCCUUGCGUUAGCAGAGCGGCCCAUGUCCGAUUAGCUGGUUGGUGGGGUUAAGGCCUACCAUGGUGACCAUCGGUAGCGGGUCGGAGAGGAGGGGCGGCGGCACGGGGACGGAGACACGGCCCAGGCUCCUGCGAGAGGCAGCAGUGGGGAAUGUUGGACAGUGGGGGGAACCCUGGUCCAGCAGGGCCGCGUGGGUGAAGGAGGCCUUCGGGUUGGAAAGCCCGUUCGGCGGGGAAGAAAUGGGCGGGGCGGAGAAGCCUGCUGGAUGACGGUACCUGCAGAAGAAGCACCGGCUAACUACGUG
rnacentral:rRNA from 1 species